rnacentral:rRNA from 1 species
ACGACAGUAAGUAGGGGGGUGUAGCGGUUGUAUUGAAAUUAUUAGCGUAAGCUUUAAUGAAGCAGUGGUUAGUGCAGAUCUUGGUGUUAGUAGCAAAUAUUUAUCCGAGAAUUAUGAAUGCUGAAGUGGAGUAAGGUUCCAUGUCAACAGCAGUUGGACAUGGGUUAGCCGGUCCUAAGACAAUCUGUAAUUAUUUUGAAGGACGUUUUAAACGUUUUUGUCAAAAGGGUGUCAGGUUAAUAUUCUUGAAUUAUAUGUUAUGGUGUUGAUACGGUAACGUAAUAAAUCUCGGUUACAGCGGCUACAGUUCCUAUAGGAGUUCUCUACUCUUAUUGAAAGUACUGUGAUCAUGGAAUAAGUUUGCCUUGAGAUUGGAUUACAGAACAUUAAAAACAUUGUGUAUUUCGCGAUGUUUGGUACACAUUGGACGCUUCGUGAAAAGCUGUGAAUGCAAUUGCGAUCACAUUUUAUCCGUAUUGAUUACCGCAUCAGGUCUCUAAGGUCAAAAGCCUCUGGUUAAUAGAAUAAAGUGGGUAAGGGAAGUCGGCAAAAUGGUUCUGUAAGUUUGCGAUAAGGAAUGGCUCAUUAGGUUGGGUUAUAGGGCUCAUGGAAGAAGCUGUUUGGUGUUAGAGACUACUGGUUUCGAUUUAAAGUCGAAAUCGGAAGGUCUGUAGAUUCAUACAGGUGGCAACAUGAGAGUGAUAUUCCCGUAAGGGAGUUAAAUUUCCGAUAACGAUUAACAACUAAUAGUGAACUGGUGCUGACCACAGGAACCCGACUGUUUAAUUAAAACAAAGCAUUGCGAUGGUCAGAGAGUGAUGUUGACGCAAUGUGAUUUCUGCCCAGUGCUCUGAAUGUCAAAGUGAAGAGGUUCGUCCAAGCGCGGGUAAACGGCGGGAGUAACUAUGACUCUCUUAAGGUAGCCAAAUGCCUCGCCAUCUCACUAGUGACGCGCAUGAAUGGAUCAACGAGGUUCCUUCUGUCCCUAUCUACUAUCUAGCGAAACCACAGCCAAGGGAACGGGCUUGGGUGUAAUGGCGGGGAAAGAAGACCCUGUUGAGCUUGACUCUAGUCUGACAUUGUGAAGUGGUAUCGGCGGUGUAGGAUAGGUGGGAGUGUUAAAGCAACAGUGAAAUACCACUACGUCGAUCGCCGCUUUACUUAUAUAAUUGUAAUAGAGCUACUCCUCUGAGUAUUUUUCUGGGAUAAAACUUUAAUAAGUGAUUGAUUUAUAAACAUUGUCAGGUGGGGAGUUUGGCUGGGGCGGCACAUCUGUUACACAUUAACGCAGGUGUCCUAAGGCAAGCUCAGAUAGAACAGAAAUCUAUCGUAGAGCAUAAGGGUAAAAGCUUGCUCGAUUCGCGGUCUUCAGUACCGAUCCACGGUGUGAAAGCAUGGCCUAACGAUCC